CGACCGGCGCACGGGUGAGUAACACGUAUGCAACCUGGCCGUCACAGGUGGAUAACCGGAAGAAAUUCCGACUAAUACAGCAUAACACUCCUGAGGGACAUCCCUUGGGAGUCAAAGGAGGCAACUCCGGUGACGGAUGGGCAUGCGGCGCAUUAGGUAGUUGGUAGGGUAACGGCCUACCAAGCCGACGAUGCGUAGGGGUUCUGAGAGGAAGGUCCCCCACACUGGUACUGAGACACGGACCAGACUCCUACGGGAGGCAGCAG
rnacentral:rRNA from 1 species